GAUGAAGAACGCAGCGAAAUGCGAUAAGUAAUGUGAAUUGCAGAAUUCAGUGAAUCAUCGAAUCUUUGAACGCACAUUGCGCACCUUGGUAUUCCGAGGGGCAUGCCUGUUCGAGCGUCAUUAUAACCCCUCAAGCUCAGCUUGGUGUUGGGGCCUGCUGCACUGGCAGCCCUUAAAAUCAGUGGCUGCGCCAUCUGGCUCUAAGCGUAGUAAUUCUUCUCGCUAUGGAGUCCUGGUGGAUGCUUGCCAUCAACCCCCAAUUUUUCUAUGGUUGACCUCGGAUCAGGUAGGGAUACCCGCUGAACUUAAGCAUAUCAAUAAGCGGAGGA
rnacentral:misc_RNA from 1 species